UCCCUGGUGGCUCAGCUGGUAAAGAAUCUGCCUGCAACGCGGAAGACCUGGGUUCGAUCCCUGGGUUGGGAA
rfam:Ovis aries breed Texel chromosome 1, whole genome shotgun sequence.